CUGGUACUUGCAAAAAGAAGGGGAAUUUUCUUCCUUUUUAGGUAUUCCCUUGGCUUCUCAUUAAGAACCCGGAAACGAAAAAUGCGUCUUUUUUUUGCCGCAUGAAUUGUGAGUUGGAGGGUAAAGUGAUAUUCCAUGGGCUUUGAGCGAAUGGAGCAGAGAUAGAGCGUGUACGCGAGACCCGAAAGGUUGAUGAACAAUGCCUGAGCAGGAUGAAGCCAGUGUAAACUCUGGUGGAAGUUCGAAGCGAUUCUAACGUCCAAAUCGAUCGUCUGACUUGGAUAUAGGGGCAAAAGACUAAUCGAAUUGUCUAGUAGCUGGUUCCUUCCGAAGUUCCCCUCAGGAUAGCUGGAGUACAGCAAAAACACAGUUAUAUUCGGUAAAGCGAAUGAUUAGAGAAAAUGGGGACAAAUCUUUCUCAGCCAAUUCUUGAACAUGAUGUUUUCGCAGGGAAAAGUGAUAUUUCAGGCCCACUUGUAGCCAAACUUGGUUGCAUAUCGUAGUAGUGAUCCCGAAGGGAGAUGAGUAAUCCUAUUCACAUCCUUGGCUAAGUGCAGCUGCUACGCCUGUUUUUAUUCACAAAAAGCUCUUUUUUUUUUGAAUUUCACUCUCUACAUCACUUUAUCCAGAUGAUGUUUGAAACGUUUUAUUUGCUUGUUUUGUGUUUUCUGUAUUUUGAUAACAGGCAGUUUUUAUCCUCUCGUAAUUUUCGUCGAUUUUCUACUGAGGUUUUUUCCUCCCUUCCCUUUUUGCCUAGUGCUAAUGUUCACACAACAGUUUUGUUCGGGCAUUUUU
rnacentral:ncRNA from 1 species